rnacentral:rRNA from 1 species
UGGGGAAUCUUGCGCAAUGGCCGCAAGGCUGACGCAGCGACGCCGCGUGCGGGACGACGCCCUUCGGGGUGUAAACCGCUGUUGCCCGGGACGAACGCCCUUCUUUCGAGAGGGGGUGACGGUACCGGGUGAGGAAGCACCGGCUAACUCCGUGCCAGCAGCCGCGGUAAUACGGAGGGUGCGAGCGUUGUCCGGAAUCACUGGGCGUAAAGGGCGCGUAGGCGGCCGAGCAAGGUCGUGGUGAAAGCCCGGGGCUCAACCCCGGGUCGGCCAUGGCAACUACUCGGCUGGAGCACAGUAGAGGCAGGCGGAAUUCCGGGUGUAGCGGUGGAAUGCGUAGAGAUCCGGAAGAACACCGGUGGCGAAGGCGGCCUGCUGGGCGGUGGCUGACGCUGAGGCGCGACAGCGUGGGGAGCAAACAG